AGUUUUUUUCUUUUUAUGGUAUCAUUAUACACACAUAGAUGCACGUGUUCCUACAGUGCCAUUUCUAGUCGCCACGCACACAUGAAUAAAAAGUGGCUUCAUACUUUUUGUUGCACACGCUCCAUCUGCCUUUUGUUUCUUAAUCUGAGAUUAAUAUCUAA